rnacentral:rRNA from 1 species
GAACCUUCCUUGGGCUAGAAUGCAUUUUGACCGCCAGUGAAAGCUGGUUUUGUAGCAAUACACAAUUUGUAAGGUGGUGCAUGGCUGUUGUCAGCUCGUGCCGUGAGGUGUUGGGUUAAGUCCCGCAACGAGCGCAACCCCUAUCAAUAGUUGCCAACAGGUAAUGCUGGGAACUCUAUUGAAACUGCCGCCGUAAGGCGUGAGGAAGGAGGGGGAGAUGUCAAGUCAUCAUGGCCCUUAUGCCCAGGGGUACCCACGUGAUACAAAGGGGUGGACAAAGGGGUGCAACACGGGGACGUGAAGGUAAUCCCAAAAACCUUCUUUCAGUUCAGAUGUAGUCUGCAACUUGACUACGGAAGCGGGAAUCGCUAGUAAUCGUAAUCAGCAAU